rnacentral:antisense_RNA from 1 species
UGUGGGAGCUGGCUUGCCUGCGAUAGCGGUGUAUCAGUUGCACCGCGGUGAGGCCAUCGCAGGCAAGCCAGCUCCCACA